UUGAUCCUGGCGCAGAAUGAGUUGAGGCGGCGUGCUUAACACAUGCAAGUCGAACGAGAGAAUUCAGAAAGCUUGCUUUUGGCGAGUAGAGUGGCGCACGGGUGAGUAACGCGUGGGUAAUCUGCCUUCGAACCGGGGAUAACACUUCGAAAGGGGUGCUAAUACCGGAUGACAUCCAGGUGUCUUCGGGCGUCUGGAUCAAAGAUGGCCUCUCCAUGGAAGCUGUUGUUCGAAGAUGAGCCCGCGUCCCAUUAGCUUGUUGGUGGGGUAAAGGCCCACCAAGGCGACGAUGGGUAGCUGGUCUGAGAGGAUGAUCAGCCACACUGGCACUGACACACGGGCCAGACUCCUACGGGAGGCAGCAGUGAGGAAUUUUGCGCAAUGGGGGUAACCCUGACGCAGCAACGCCGCGUGAGUGAAGAAGGCCUUCGGGUCGUAAAGCUCUGUCGAGUGGGAAGAACCCGCAUCAGGUGACAAGGCUGAUGCGCUGACGGUACCACUGGAGGAAGCACCGGCUAACUCCGUGCCAGCAGCCGCGGUAAUACGGAGGGUGCAAGCGUUAUUCGGAAUUACUGGGCGUAAAGGGCGCGCAGGCGGCCUGGUAAGUCAGUAGUGAAAGCCCGGGGCUCAACCCCGGAAGUGCUGCUGAAACUGUUGGGCUUGAGUAUGGUAGAGGGAAGCGGAAUUCCUGGUGUAGCGGUGAAAUGCGUAGAUAUCAGGAGGAAACACCGGUGGCGAA
rnacentral:rRNA from 1 species